rnacentral:rRNA from 1 species
UACGUAGGGGGCAAGCGUUGUCCGGAUUUAUUGGGCGUAAAGAGCUCGUAGGCGGUUCCGUAAGUCGUGAAGUCAAAUCUCUGGGCUCAACCCAGAAUCGCUUCCGAUACUGCGGUGACUGGAGUCCGGUAGGGGAGUGUGGAAUUCCUGGUGUAGCGGUGAAAUGCGCAGAUAUCAGGAGGAACACCAACAGCGAAGGCAGCACUCUGGGCCGGUACUGACGCUGAGGAGCGAAAGCAUGGGGAGCGAACGGG